CAAGGGGGCGGGGGCGGUGUUGCUGGGCUCUCCGGAAGGAGACGUGGCGGCUGUUGGGGCCCGGGUUGCCUGGGCGCUUGGUAGUCCCGCCGCCUCCUCCUCCUCCUCCUCCUCCUUCCCCCUCUCCUCUCCACUGUGGGCCGAGGGGGUUGUGGCGGCGGCUGGAGAGCUCGGUGGCGGAGGAUGGAGGAAGGAGGCGGCGGCGCGCGGAGUCUGGUCCCAGGCGGGCCGCUGUUACUGGUACUCUGCGGUCUCCUAGAGGCGUCCGGCGGCGGCCGAGCGCUCCCCCAGCUCAGCGAUGACAUCCCUUUCCGCGUCAACUGGCCCGGCACCGAGUUCUCUCUGCCUACAACUGGAGUUCUGUAUAAAGAAGAUAAUUAUGUCAUCAUGACAACUACACAUAAAGAAAAAUAUAAAUGCAUUCUUCCCCUUGUGACAAGUGGUGAUGAAGAAGAAGAAAAGGAUUAUAAAGGCCCAAAUCCAAGAGAGCUAUUGGAGCCACUAUUUAAACAGAGCAGUUGUUCCUACAGAAUUGAGUCUUAUUGGACUUACGAAGUAUGUCACGGAAAACACAUUCGGCAGUACCAUGAAGAGAAAGAAAGUGGUCAGAAAGUAAAUAUUCACGAGUACUACCUUGGGAAUAUGUUGGCUAAGAAUCUUCUAUCCGAAAAAGAACAAGAAGCGGAAGAAAAGGAAAAAUCAAAAGAGAUUCCCACUAAAAAUAUCGAAGGUCAGAUGACACCCUACUAUCCAGUGGGAAUGGGAAAUGGUACACCUUGUAGUUUGAAACAGAACCGGCCCAGAUCAAGUACUGUGAUGUACAUAUGUCAUCCUGAAUCUAAGCAUGAAAUUCUUUCAGUAGCUGAAGUUACAACUUGUGAAUAUGAAGUUGUCAUUUUGACACCACUCUUGUGCAGUCAUCCUAAAUAUAGAUUCAGAGCAUCUCCUGUGAAUGACAUAUUUUGCCAGUCACUACCAGGAUCACCAUUUAAACCCCUCACCCUGAGACAGUUGGAACAGCAGGAAGAAAUACUGAGGGUGCCUUUUAGGAGAAAUAAAGAGGAAGAUAUGCAAUCAACUAAGGAAGAGAGAUUUCCAGCAAUCCACAAACCCAUUGCUGUUGGUUCUCAGCCAAUGCUCACAGUUGGAACAACCCACAUAUCCAAACUGACAGAUGACCAACUCAUAAAAGAGUUCCUUAGUGGUUCCUACUGCUUUCACGGGGGUGUUGGUUGGUGGAAAUAUGAAUUCUGCUAUGGCAAACAUGUACAUCAAUACCAUGAGGACAAGGAUAGUGGGAAAAUCUCUGUGGUUGUGGGGACAUGGAACCAAGAAGAACAUAUUGAAUGGGCUAAGAAGAAUACUGCUAGAGCCUAUCACCUUCAAGACGAUGGUACCCAGACAGUCAGGAUGGUGUCACAUUUUUAUGGGAAUGGAGAUAUUUGUGAUAUAACUGACAAACCAAGACAGGUGACUGUAAAACUAAAGUGUAAAGAAUCAGAUUCUCCUCAUGCUGUUACUGUAUAUAUGCUAGAGCCUCACUCCUGUCAGUAUAUCCUUGGGAUUUUUCCCCUGAUGUCUUGACUAUUCUUUUUUCUUACUGUCUUUUGAUGAGCAAAAGUUUAUUUGAUGAAGUUCAUUUUAUCAAUUUUUUUCCCAUUUUAUUGCUAAUGAUUUUUUUGUUUUAAGAAAUUUUGCCACCCCAAAGUCAUGAAGGUUGAAUCUCCAGUGAUCUGUAAAAUCUUAGAUACAGCAGACGAAAAUGGACUUCUUUCUCUCCCCAACUAAAGGGUAACAAAGUUCAGGGGAAAAAAAAGAUCAUUGGAAGUCAUGAUGAUUUGUCUGACCAUAUGUCCCAUUAUAGAGCUCUCAGUCAUUGGACUGCAUCUAAAGGAUUGUAUAAAAGGACUCUCAACCACUUUGUGAAUAUGUAUGUGUACAUAAGAGGUUAUUGAUAAACUUCUAAGGCAGACGUUUUGUUUCACCUUUUUCAUUUUUGUUGUGUCUUAUGAACUGAUUGUGUGUUUUUCUUUGCUUGGAUAAUGUGAUUCCAAAAUAAAUCCUGUCCAAGCAAUUUAGAGUCCAUCCUAAUGAAAUGUCAUAAUCAUUGUACCUAUUGAAAGUUUUUAAAUAAUAGAUUUAUUAUGUAAAUUAUAGUAUAUACACUAGCUAAUAAAGUAAGGAUAAUGAAGAAAGAAAUUGACAGGAGGUUGUUUAAAUGAGAGACUGUGUUAAAUAUGUAAUUUCUAGUGCCUGAAAUCCUUUCAACAAAUUUCUAUUUAGCAACCGCUCUCUACCAGGUAUUAAACUAGAAACUGGACACACAGUAAAGCCUCACAUAUAAGUUUUCUUCUCCUCUGUUAAUCUCAAGAAACUCUUAUUUACAAUAGAUUGCUUCUCUCUCAGAACUUUUAUCUGUUUCUUUCUCCUUGAUAUGAGUGUGUUUCCCCAAAAAAUAUGUACCUGGUAUAGACAGUCGGUGAUUCUUCUCUUUCGAUUUAGAAUGAUUUAUCUUAACAAAACACACUGUGCUGGCUAUCCUUUGUACUUGCCUACUAUAUACUACAGAUUUUAGUUCCGGACAGUUUUAUAGCACAAUAUUUAUUUUAAAGUGAAUAAAAUGUCCACAAGCAGUGUU